UAUCCUGAUUGGCUUGAAACUAACAGAUUGAAAAUUUCUUCUGCUGAAUUUGAAAAUUAUGUAAAGCAGGAAGCUAUUAUAAAACAAUUAUGUACACUGUUUGAGGAAGAGACCGCUUCUGAUAGUCCAUCUGUCAAGAAAAUAAGAAUGGGAAAAGUUGUUGACCUCAUGCAGCAGAUGCAAAAGUAUGGUCACCCUCCUGCAGAUAUGAUGUCCCAAAUGAGUGACGAUACUGCGUCAUCCUGCAAAGACACUCCUGGAUGUUCGAUUAUGUAGUAUUGUAAUUCUCUAAAUGAAAACGAAGAAAAUGAUGUGCAAUAAAUAGCAUUAAGGAUAUUAGAUUCCAUUAUGUUACCUUACCAUUGCGUUAUCUAAAAUAUGUAUUCGUCAAUAUAGUCACGAAAAAUAAAGAAUUAACAAGGACUUUCAUAUAAACUAUGACUCUUCCAAUAUCUAGUAAUUUUUUUAUACAGACAUAAUUUUUAAUGCUUUAA
rnacentral:lncRNA from 1 species